AGAAGAUGCCUAGAGCUUAUAAAUGAAUUCAGCAAAAUAGCAGAAUAUAAGAUCAAUAGCUUUCUUAUACUCUAACAGUGAUUCAGCUGAGGAAGAAAUCAGAAAAGUCAUCCCAUUCACAAUAACCUAAACAAAACAAUUUAAUCUAACCAAGGAGGAAAAGUGCUUUACAAUGAAGACCUUAGAAGACAAAAAGUCACUCCAUGUUCUUGGAUAGGCAGAAUCAAAUAUUGUCAAAAUGGCCAUGCUACCAAAAGCAAUAUACAGAUUCAAAGCAAUCCCCAUCAAAAUACCAAUGGCAUACUUAACAGAACUGGAAUAAAAGCAAUUCUUAAAUUCAUAUGGAAAAAUAAGAAACCCAGAAUAGACAAAGCAAUGUUAAGCAAGAAAAGUAAAGCCAGAGGCAUCGCAAUACCUGAUCUGAAAUGAUACUGCAGACCUGUAGCAACUGAACAGAAGGGUGUUGUUACCAAAACAGACAAGAAGACAAAUGGAAUGGGAUAAAAGACACAGAGACAAACCCACAAACCUAUAGCCACCUGACAUUUGACAAAGGUGCCAAAAAUAUAUCUUGGAGAAAAGAUGGCCUUUUAACAAAUGGUUCUGGGAAAACUAGAUAGCUAUAGGUAGAAAAAUAAAACUAGACUCCUAUCUCUCACCCUUCAUAAAACUCAAAUUAAAAUAGAUCAAAGACAGGAAUUAGACCAGAAAUUUUGCAACUGCCAGAAGAAAACGUAGGGUCAACACUCCAUCACAUAGGUGCAGGCACAGACUUCCUUAACAAGACACCCAAAGUGCAAGAAAUAAAACCAAGAAUCAAGAUAUGGGAUGCCAUCAAACUAAAAACUCCUGCACAGCAAAGGAAAUAAUUAAGAGCAUGAAGAGAGAGCCUACAGAAUGGGAGACAAUCUUAGCCAGUUAUUACUCAGGGGAUUGAUAUCCAGAAUAUAUAAAGAACUCAAAACACUGAACACCCAAAAGAAAUAACCCAAUCAAGAAAUGGGCUAAAGAACUAAAUAGAAACUUCAGAAAAGAAGAAACAGGAAUGGCCAAACAAAUAUAUGAAAAAAAUGUCCCACAUCCCUAGCAAUCAGGGAAAUGCAGGUGGACACUACACUGAGAUGUCAUCUCACUCCAGUCAGAAGGACAGCCUUCAAGAACACAGAUAACAGUAAACGCUGGUGAGGUUGGGGGUGGGGACAGCUGCACUUGUACCUGGUUGGUGGGACUGCAGACUAGUGCAACCCGCCUGGGGAAAAACCUGGGGAUGGAACCACCAUAUGACCCAGUUGUCCCUUCCCAAAAGACCUAAAAUCAGCAUACUACAACAGCCCAGCCACCUCGAUGCUUAUAGCAGCUCAGCUUACAAUAGCUAAAUCAUGGAAUCAACCCAGACGCCUGUCAGCAGAGGAAUGGAUUAAGAAAUUGUGAUUAUAUAUAUCUUCUACUCAGCCAUUAAAAAAUAAAAAAAUUGCUGGUAAAGGAUGAAAGCAGAGAGUAUCAUGCUACAUGAAAUAAGCCAAACUCAGAAAUUCGAAGGUCGAAUGUUUCGUCUCAUGUGGAAGGCAGCUAGAGUAAAAUAAAGGAGAGGAGGAGGAAGGAGGCGGCAUCAUAAAGGGAAGGUCCCUGACGGGCCAAGAGAGAGGCUGAGGGUGGAUUGGGGAGGCACCAGGAGGCACAUGGAGUCUUAAAAAUCAUGUCAUGUGCAUCUAUAAAUACACCACAGGGAACCUCACCCUGUGUACAAGUGAAAAGAACCACUCGGAUAUAAAUAAACAGAUGAGAAAGGGAGUGUAGCAGGAGGGAACAGGCAUCUUGUGAAUGAUGUCACGCGCGGGCUUGUUGGGAGGAACCUGCUACUAAGUGGCACCAUCAAGCUCUGAUUUUAAAAUCACAUGUUUCCAAAGUAUUCUCU
rnacentral:lncRNA from 1 species